rnacentral:rRNA from 1 species
GACGAACGCUGGCGGCGUGCUUAACACAUGCAAGUCGAACGGAAAGGCCCUGCUUUUGUGGGGUGCUCGAGUGGCGAACGGGUGAGUAACACGUGAGUAACCUGCCCUUGACUUUGGGAUAACUUCAGGAAACUGGGGCUAAUACCGGAUAGGAGCUCCUGCUGCAUGGUGGGGGUUGGAAAGUUUCGGCGGUUGGGGAUGGACUCGCGGCUUAUCAGCUUGUUGGUGGGGUAGUGGCUUACCAAGGCUUUGACGGGUAGCCGGCCUGAGAGGGUGACCGGACACAUUGGGACUGGGAUACGGCCCGGACUCCUACGGGAGGCAGCGGUGGAGAAUGGUGCACAGUGGGCGGAAGCCUGGUGCAGCAACGCCGCGUGCGGGAUGACGGCCUUCGGGUUGUAAACCGCUUUCGCCUGUGACGAAGCGUGAGUGACGGUAAUGGGUAAAGAAGCACCGGCUAACUACGUG